GGGUAAGUAGGUUGGUCGUGCCACCGGUACGUACUGGUCUCAUUGAUUCCUCCUUCCUGAAGAACCGUAAUGCCAUUAAUUUGGUGUUGCGGGGAAACAGGACUGUUACUUUGAAAAAAUUAGAGUGUUUAAAGCAAGCUAACGCUUGGAUACAUUAGCAUGGAAUAAUGAAAUAGGACGAUCGAUCCUAUUUUGUUGGUUUCUAGGAUUGACGUA
rnacentral:rRNA from 1 species